rnacentral:rRNA from 1 species
GAUGAACGCUGGCGGCGUGCCUAAUACAUGCAAGUCGAGCGAACAGACGAGGAGCUUGCUCCUCUGACGUUAGCGGCGGACGGGUGAGUAACACGUGGAUAACCUACUUAUAAGACUGGGAGAAUUUCGGGAAACCGGAGCUAAUACCGGAUAACAUGUUGAACCGCAUGGUUCAACAGUGAAAGACGGUCUUGCUGUCACUUAUAGAUGGUUCCGCGCCGCAUUGUCUAGUUGGUAAGGUAACGGCUUACCAAGGCAACGAUGCGUAGCCGAGCUGAGAGGGUGAUCGGCCACACUGGAACUGAGACACGGUCCAGACUCCUACGGGAGGCAGCAGUGGGGAAUCUUCCGCAAUGGGCGAAAGCCUGACCGAGCAACGCCGCGUGAGUGAAGAAGGUCUUCGGAUCGUAAAACUCUUUUAUUAGGGAAGAACAAAUGUGUAAGUAACUAUGCACGUCUUGACGGUACCCAAUCAGAAAGCCACGGCUAACUACGUG